CCUACGGGAGGCAGCAGUGAGGGAUAUUGGUCAAUGGGGGAAACCCUGAACCAGCAACGCCGCGUGAGGGAAGACGGUUUUCGGAUUGUAAACCUCUGUCCUCUGUGAAGAUAAUGACGGUAGCAGAGGAGGAAGCUACGGCUAACUACGUGCCAGCAGCCGCGGUAAUACGUAGGGAGCAAGCGUUGUCCGGAUUUACUGGGUGUAAAGGGUGCGUAGGCGGUCCGUCAAGUCAGAAGUGAAAUUCAUGGGUUUAACCAGUGAACUGCUUUUGAAACUGUAGGGCUUGAGUGAAGUAGAGGUAGGCGGAAUUCCCGGUGUAGCGGUGAAAUGCGUAGAGAUCGGGAAGAACAC
rnacentral:rRNA from 1 species